ensembl:lncRNA
GGCCAGCACAGAUGUUGAGGAACUUGUGCCAUUGGUGGCACCCGUUUAUGGUAGACAUGGUACGUAACUACACUAGGACAUGCACCAUCUGCACACACCACAACCCAAAACCGACGAUCAAACCUGAGAUGGGGGCGUUCCCCAUGACGACGAGACCUGGACAAGAGAUAGUGAUAGACUAUACGGACAUGGGGGAAACUGUACGGGGGUGCCGCUACAUGUUAGUGUGUGUGGACAUGUUCACAGGGUGGCCAGAAGCCUGGCCGGCAAGAAGGGAGGACAGUCAGACAGUGAUCAAGUAUUUAGUGAACCAGUACAUUCCCAGACACGGCUUCCCAGAGAAAAUCAGGUCAGACAAUGGGACUCACUUUAAGAACAGUGAUUUACAGAAGGUAGAGAGCUUAUUGGGCCUAAAACAUGCUUUUGGCACUGUGUAACAUCCACAGUCCCAGGGAAAGGUAGAAAGGAUGAACCAAAACUUAAAAAACAAGUUGGCUAAGAUAUGUGCACAGACUAAAUUGAACUGGGUGGAUGCACUGGCACUCAUGACGAUUCGAUGCUCGUUAAAUCAGACCACUGGGUUCACCCCAUACGAGCUGCUGACGGGGAGACAGUUUCCAGGACCAGCCGCGGGGCCUGCGGUCCCGGAAGGGGAAAAGUGGCCCAGAGAUCACAGAGUGUAUUUUGAUUAAUUGCGAGCUCUCGUUUCAGAAUUCACCAACAGAGUCGGAGAACGGAGGGACCUGCAACCGCUGGACCAGAACCUGCCCCAGGCGGAGUGGGUGUUGCUGAAGGUCAUCAAACGAAAGUGGUCGGAGCCAAGGUGGACGGGUCCUCAUCAGGUGGUGGAGAGAACAAGCCAUGCGGUCCGCCUGAGGGACAAAGGAGAGACGUGGUACCAUUGGAGCCAGUGUGCACCAGCGCAGGAGCCAGGGAGAUCACUGACGGACCUCAUCCAAACUGGGAAGGUGGAGCUCGCCCCAGUGUGGACGGAAGGAGGACCAAAACCAGCCGGACCGGUGCCAGGAACUGACCCCAGGAUACUGUGGGACUACGAGCGAGAGAAGGAGACAAAGGACGGCGCCAGGGGAAUAGACUUUUAGGGGAAGGAACCAAAAUAAUUCUGUAACAAAAGGGGGUUUAGGACACAGAGUGGCUCCUACCACUCGUACCAAGAUGAUAGGGUUACAGAGAAAGGUCUGGGGAGAUGAUGAUAGAAGUGGUACAUGGACAUUGGUGGAAUAAUGAUGUGUGUUGUAUGUUGGUACAGGUUUCCCAGGUUGGCAUCGGGUCUUCAUUCCCCCAGCGAAGAGGUUCGCGACCCCACCUGAGGACACCUGCUUGAGGAAAUUUGGUGCAUUGAAUUGGACUAUGUCCAAUUCAAUGGGUAGGACACAAGCAUUCUGGGGUAGAUAAUCCGCUGGAGGAAUGGAUGACCUCGAUGUUUGGCCAGUGGAAAGGUUUGAUAAUGUCUGUUCUUUUAUCGCUUGCUACAUUUUGUGCUAUAAUGGUUACAUGUGGGUGUUGUUGUAUCCCAUGCAUAAGAGGGCUCGCCAUGAGAGUGAUCUCUACAGCCAUUGAGAAGGCUCCAGGACCGCCACCGGGGAUGCUGAUGCCUCUACUGGAACAGCACGACCCGGGAGAACUGGAGCUGGGUGAAUAUGGGUGAUCUCUCUGGGGAGAGAACAAAAGGGGGAAUUGUGGAUAUAUUGACUGUAUAAGCUAGUAAACUGUUGUGAGCAUUGAAGCAGAAUGUUGGAUGUCUGCUGAAAGUUGCAAGUAGAAAAACAGGAAAUCUUAUUUAAGCAGUUGCUAGGAAGAGGAAGUAGAUUUAGCUUGUGUGUCUCAGACACACAGGGAACAGGACACAGAUUGACAACGCACACACAUACUGAGGAACUUCAAGCUGAAGACAUAAAGCCCAAAUAUGACGCUUGUGCUGCAUGUACACAUAUAAGGUAUAGAACAUAAAUUGGACCAAUGGCACACUGCUUGGCUACCUUAACGCCCCCACUUUUUAGGCGUGUUUGAAGUAUAAAUAAUGCUGUUAUGACAGUUCAUGUUUAGACAUUGUGCGGCGACACUUGUCUCCAAAAGCUUUUGUAAUAAACGGAAUAUGCGGUACGGUAAUAGACCUGACUCCUGGUGUGUUAUUCUCCUUUCCAACAAACAAACUCGGGGAAGUGUUAGACUUCAACAGGUGCGGGUGAAAAUGAGAAACCUAAAUAGACAUCAUAAUUGCUAACUGAAAACAG